GAUGAAGAACGUAGCGAAAUGCGAUACGUAAUGUGAAUUGCAGAUUUCAGUGAAUCAUCGAAUCUUUGAACGCACAUUGCGCCCGCUAGUAUUCUGGCGGGCAUGCCUGUUCGAGCGUCAUUUCAACCAUCAAGCCCUAGGCUUGCGUUGGAGCCCUGCGGCUGCCGCAGGCUCCCAAAUCCAGUGGCGGGCUCGUCGUCGUACCGAGUGCAGUAAACAUCCUCGCUCAGGGAACGUGACGGGUUCUUGCCGUGAAACCCCCCACAUAUCAAGGUUGACCUCGGAUCAGGUAGGAAUACCCGCUGAACUUAAGCAUAUCAAUAAGGGAGGA
rnacentral:misc_RNA from 1 species